rnacentral:rRNA from 1 species
CCUACGGGAGGCUGCAGUGAGGAAUAUUGGUCAAUGGGCGAGAGCCUGAACCAGCCAAGCCGCGUGAAGGAUGAAGGUCCUAUGGUUUGUAAACUUCUUUUAUAUGGGAAUAAAGUGAGGAACGUGUUCCUCUGUGUAUGUACCAUACGAAUAAGCAUCGGCUAACUCCGUGCCAGCAGCCGCGGUAAUAUGGAGGAUGCGAGCGUUAUCCGGAUUUAUUGGGAUUAAAGGGUGCGUAGGUGGUUAAUUAAGUCAGCGGUGAAAGUAUGUGGCUCAACCAGAAAAUUGCCGUUGAAACUGGUUGACUUGAGUGUGUGAGAGGUAGGCGGAAUGCGUGGUGUAGCGGUGAAAUGCAUAGAUAUCACGCAGAACUCCGAUUGUGAAGGCAGCUUACUGGCCCAUAACUGACGCUGAGGCACGAAAGCGUGGGGAUCAAACAGGAUUAGAUACCCGGGUAGUC